GGAAUUGCUCAGUCAGUUUAGGAAAGCAAUUACACAUGCAUUUUAUGAAUUGCAUGGCUACACUAUAUAAAAAUCAGUCUCUCAAUUCAUCUAAUCUAAUCUAAUCUGAGGGCACUGUAGGACUGUUAUGCGAUAUAUGUAAUGUUAGUUUGAGCAUCUGUAGCACUUGUACUAUGUUCCCUACAGUAUAUUUGACUUAGACCUUUCCAGAUAUGCAUUUAAAUGUAUAUCCAUGGAAAGAGGAACUUUCCAUGUUCUUCCUGUUAAUUGUAAAUCCUUGUUAUAUCUGCAUUGUCUAAAUUAAUUCUACCAGCAACCAUUACUUUCCAUGAUGGUGGAAUAUUCCAUAAAUAAAUUACCAGUCCAGAGAAGGCAAUGUUUGGGCAUAACAGGGACACACACAGAAGGUUAGCUAUUAAACCAUUACAUGUAUGGGCUUUUAAAACAGUGGAGAACACUAUGGAUUUCCAAAAAUUGCUGAAGGAAUUUGAAAUCUUAAAUCCUAUUACAAAAGUGACUCAGGCACUUAAGAUCUAAGGUCCCACUGACUUGUGAUGAGACUUGGGCCCAGAUCGUCAAAGGCAUUAAGGUACCCACUGAGGUCAAUGGGAAUUAGGCACCUAAAUAUCCUUGAGGAUCUGGGUACUCUUUAAUUUCAGAGGAAGUUUGUCUGACUAAUGUGGGUGAAAGGAGUUCAGGACCAGGCCUCCAUUUUUGUAACAUUAGGGUUUUUAGUAUGGCCAUGCUUAAUAUAUAAGUACAAUAAGAAAUAUUUGGGAGUUAAUCUGGCUUUCCAAAUAUAGAUGCAGCUUAAUAACCACAUGUUUUCUAGCUCUGAUGGCACAAAGGAGUCCAUGUUUAUUUACAAGCGUCAAAUUACCUGUUAUCUAAGGUUCUGUAUGCCACUGAUUUACAGUGAAACGAGCUAAUUAAUACAACAUAUUUCAAGUGGCAGGACAGUUUUUGCUACGUCUUAAACAGAACCCUUGUUAUGAAUUAACAUACACAAAUACAACUAAUAACAGGAAAGGCUCGGUUGUUAAAAGUGAAUGGAAGGAUUUGAAGUCCAGAGACCACAAACCUGACACAUUGGGAUGAUUGAAAGACAAUAAAAAGAAACUAUAGUACCAUCUCUCUUCUUGUCCAAGAGAUGAACCCCUGACUGUUGCUUGGAACAAUCUCUGACCAUGCAACGAGGAUGGUUCUGGAAUCCUGGACAGAAUCAAUGAAACUGGAAUGCUGGGUCACAGGAACACUGGAAUGCUGGAACACAGGACGCGAUGACCACCAGAGUUGCUGACCAUCUGCAGUGCCUUCAGUUGGAUCUGUGAGUGCUCAACAAUCCUAUCGUACCCUAGAUUUCUCAGAUUUGGCCACCCAAAAGUCAAGGCACCAAAAGUGAGUGGACCCCUUUUGAAAAUGUUGGCCUCAUCAUUUUACAGGUACAACAAUGGAAAAGCCAGACAGGGCUGAUGGCCCAUCUGUGAGGACAAUGGACUUUGAAAAGCUUGGCCUUCUUGCUCCAUACUGCCACUGACUCAUGGACGCUGUGAUACUACAGAGUCAGGUGAUCUUGUCACCAGAUACAAAACAUUACUGGGACUUUUGUAACUUUCCACUGGAAGGGAAGGGGAGUCAAGUUUGGGAAACAAAGGAUUUCCGCCAUAUGUAAAUCCUAUUUAAGGGUGGGGAGGAAGGCAAACAGGACUCCUCCUCUCCAUGGCCUAUCUGCCCAAGAAGAAAGACUGCAAAAGCCACCUGAAGGGCAGGCAAGAGGGAGUCCAUACGGAGACAGGGGUCCAGUCUGAAAAGGAAUAUAACUGGAACUCUGAACCACAGAAACUUUCAACCUGCCUAAAAUGACAUUUAGGGUGAGAAUUUAUAUUUUGUAACCUGUUUCUUAAGUAUAUUGAGCUUAGCUUGCUUAUUUUGCUUUAUUUGGUCAGUAAUCUGCUUUGUUCGGUCUGUUAUCUCUUAUAUUCACCUAAA